GUUUAAGUAGCUUAAUUCUAAAGCACUAGUCUUGUAAGCUAAAAAUAGAGAUUAACACCUCUCUUGAACU
rnacentral:tRNA from 1 species